rnacentral:rRNA from 1 species
CGCAUCUGUGCAUGCAGCAUAUCAAUAAGCGGAGGAAAAGAAACUAACAAGGAUUCCCUUAGUAACGGCGAGUGAAGCGGGAAGAGCUCAAAUUUGAAAUCUUCAAGGUUUUACCUUGACGAAUUGUAGUUUAAAGAAGUGUUUUCUGUUGAAGUUUUGGUAAAAGUUCUUUGGAAUAGGACAUCAUAGAGGGUGAGAAUCCCGUAUUUGACCAUUAUUUUCAGCUGUGUGAUACACUUUCAAAGAGUCGGAUUGUUUGGGAAUGCAGUUCAAAAUGGGUGGUAAAUUUCAUCUAAAGCUAAAUAUUGGCGAGAGACCGAUAGCGAACAAGUACCGUGAGGGAAAGAUGAAAGGAACUUUGAAAAGAGAGUUAAACAGUACGUGAAAUUGUCAAAAGGGAAGCGUUUGACACCAGUGUUGUUUUCUCGAAAAUCAAUUAAAAAGAGUUUGAUUUUGUUGUGUAUUGACCUUAACAGCUUGCAUUUCAAUUUUCUUGCUUUUUUUAAUGCACUUUUCGUUUAACAAGUCAACAUCAGUUUCUUUUGUUGUAAAAAGGUCAUUGGAAGGUGGCUUUCUUUUCGGAGAAAGUGUUUAUAGCCUUUGACUCCUGCAAUCGGAGAGACUGAGGUCUGCAGCGUAGAUCCUUCGGGGUUAGAUACAUUUGUGCUAAGUUAUAGCUUUUUAUAGACAACUUGUUGACUAUGAUUAGUCUUGUAGCUUACUCGCUUAUGCUAUUUUACCUACGCUUAGGAUGUUGACACACGCGCGUGCUCG